UAGUCCCCUACAAUGUUAUGAGCAUUAU
rnacentral:piRNA from 1 species